rnacentral:rRNA from 1 species
GUGAGGAAUAUUGGUCAAUGGACGAGAGUCUGAACCAGCCAAGUAGCGUGAAGGAUGACUGCCCUAUGGGUUGUAAACUUCUUUUAUAUGGGAAUAAAGUGAGCCACGUGUGGCUUUUUGUAUGUACCAUACGAAUAAGGAUCGGCUAACUCCGUGCCAGCAGCCGCGGUAAUACGGAGGAUCCGAGCGUUAUCCGGAUUUAUUGGGUUUAAAGGGAGCGUAGGCGGAUUAUUAAGUCAGUUGUGAAAGUUUGCGGCUCAACCGUAAAAUUGCAGUUGAUACUGGUAGUCUUGAGUGCAGCAGAGGUAGGCGGAAUUCGUGGUGUAGCGGUGAAAUGCUUAGAUAUCACGAAGAACUCCGAUUGCGAAGGCAGCUUACUGGACUGUAACUGACGCUGAUGCUCGAAAGUGUGGGUAUCAAACAGGAUUAGAAACCCUAGUAGUCC